rnacentral:rRNA from 1 species
GGGGAAUUUUGGACAAUGGGCGAAAGCCUGAUCCAGCAAUGCCGCGUGAGUGAAGAAGGCCUUCGGGUUGUAAAGCUCUUUCAAUCGAGAAGAAAAAAUCAUGACUAAUAAUCAUGAUUAAUGACGGUAUCGAUAGAAGAAGCACCGGCUAACUACGUGCCAGCAGCCGCGGUAAUACGUAGGGUGCUAGCGUUAAUCGGAAUUACUGGGCGUAAAGGGUGCGCAGGCGGUUUUGUAAGUCAGAUGUGAAAUCCCCGGGCUUAACCUGGGAAUUGCGUUUGAAACUACAAAACUAGAGUGUAGCAGAGGGAGGUGGAAUUUCAUGUGUAGCAGUGAAAUGCGUAGAGAUAUGGAAGAACAUCGAUGGCGAAGGCAGCCUCCUGGGUUAACACCGACGCUCAUGCACGAAAGCGUGGGGAGCAAAC